ACGCACGCUGGCGGCGUGCUUAACCCAUGCCAGUCGCACGGAAAGGCCCUGCUUGCCGGGUACUCGAGUGGCGAACGGGUGAGUAACACGUGGGUGAUCUGCCCUGCACUUCGGGAUAAGCCUGGGAAACUGGGUCUAAUACCGGAUAGGAGCCAUUUUUAGUGUGAUGGUUGGAAAGUUUUUUCGGUGUAGGAUGAGCUCGCGGCCUCUCAGCUUGUUGGUGGGGUAAUGGCCUACCAAGGCGGCGACGGGUAGCCGGCCUGAGAGGGUGGACGGCCACAUUGGGACUGAGAUACGGCCCAGACUCCUACGGGAGGCAGCAGUGGGGAAUAUUGCACAAUGGGCGCAAGCCUGAUGCAGCGACGCCGCGUGGGGGAUGACGGCCUUCGGGUUGUAAACUCCUUUCGCUAGGGACGAAGCUUUUUGUGACGGUACCUAGAGAAGAAGCACCGGCUAACUACGUG
rnacentral:rRNA from 1 species